UGAAAGCCCAAAAGCUUGUGAUUGGUGAAAAUUUGUUACAAUUUUUUGGUGAAGUUAAGCUUAGACAAAAGUAACCAAAAGUCUAAAAGGUUUAUUGUGCAAAAAGAAGAGAAAAGAAAACGAAGAGAUGGAGUUCUAAUACAUAUUAUAUAUCUGAUGAAGACGGCGAAAUAAAAAGAAGAGGCAAAAGUAUUUAGGAGAAAAAUUUAAACCACUUAACACAGCUACCUCAUGGACCAUGGUGAGUCAAAAUUGGUGAUAUAAAGGUGUGU